rnacentral:rRNA from 1 species
AGUGAACGCUGGCGGUAGGCCUAACACAUGCAAGUCGAACGGCAGCACAGUAAGAGCUUGCUCUUACGGGUGGCGAGUGGCGGACGGGUGAGGAAUACAUCGGAAUCUACUUUUUCGUGGGGGAUAACUUAGGGAAACUUACGCUAAUACCGCAUACGACUUACGGGUGAAAGCAGGGGAUCUUCGGACCUUGCGCGAUUGAAUGAGCCGAUGUCGGAUUAGCUAGUUGGCGGGGUAAAGGCCCACCAAGGCGACGAUCCGUAGCUGGUCUGAGAGGAUGAUCAGCCACACUGGAACUGAGACACGGUCCAGACUCCUACGGGAGGCAGCAGUGGGGAAUAUUGGACAAUGGGCGCAAGCCUGAUCCAGCCAUACCGCGUGGGUGAAGAAGGCCUUCGGGUUGUAAAGCCCUUUUGUUGGGAAAGAAAAGCAGCAGGUUAAUACCCCGCUGUUCUGACGGUACCCAAAGAAUAAGCACCGGCUAACUUCGUG